UACGUAGGGGGCAAGCGUUAUCCGGAUUUACUGGGUGUAAAGGGAGCGCAGGCGGCGCGGCAAGUCUGAUGUGAAAGCCCGGGGCUCAACUCCGGGACUGCUUUUGAAACUGUGUGACUGGAGUGCAGGAGAGGUAAGCGGAAUUCCUGGUGUAGCGGUGGAAUGCGUAGAUAUAUGGAAGAACACCAGUGGCGAAGGCGGCUCUCUGGUCUGUAACUGACGCUGAGGCUCGAAAGCAUGGGUAGCGAACAGG
rnacentral:rRNA from 1 species